GGGGCCAGGAGCGGGAGGGGGGGGGAGCCGUGGCGCCGCUCUUGGGCCGCGAGGCCUCCCCCUGGGCCCGCGGCGCCACGCGGAGACCGCGACAGCAGCAGCAGGAGGUUUAAGAAUCUGCCGGUGUCUGUGCUGGAGGUGGACGUCUGGAUAUCUGUGCGGUCUGGAGCGGUGGACAAUAGACUCCUGCAGCUCAACCAGGACACGAGUCCAUUGAGGGACGGGGACAGCGUGGGGCCCUUCGUGGAGCUGAUUCUCGCAAUGGCGGAGGAAGAGUUGGAGAGAUGCAGCAGAGGAGGGGGUGGCACCGCACAAUGUUCAUGCUGAGAGUGAACGUGGCACUAGGGGAGGCUCCGGAGUUGGGCCUCCUCAGGGCGACUGGCGAUAGAGUGGAGAAG